CGAUCCCUGAAGGACAUUCAUAAAUGUUAACACAUCACCACAGGAGCACACUGAACACAUGGCUGCAGGAGCUGGGGAUCAAACCCCCGACCUUCCAGUUGAGAGACAACCGACUCUCCCAACUAUUCUUUUUCAACCUUUAUUUAUACUCGAAAGUUUCAUGAUGCUGACUUUUCUUCCUUAUAGAUUCAAUGAAGAUAAAGAUGGAGACCGUUCAGUCUCUAGUUUAAAGAAAUUAAGGCCAUCCAUAUCAUUCACUUGCAUCAUGUACGUAUAUUUGUUUUUUCUUGAGUUCGAGAUUCUGUUCUCUCUCUUUUACUUUUCAACUCUACACAGUCAUCGAUUCAUCAGGAGGAAACCAGGAUCAUCAGAGCACAGCAGCUUCAGAACGCUCAAACCAGCACAGGACACACUUUCUGUUUUAUCAGGAUUAUACACACAGGAAACAAUGUCUUGGACUCGAUUCAGUAACUUGCUUGAGCUGGAAAGAGAUUCUGUACGUCUGAUCAAACGUCUUUUCAGAACAAGAGGUUCACCUUGACGGGGUUAGCCGGCAUCUUGCCCAUGAAGUAGGUGCUGUAGGGGUAAUCGAGCAUGGCCA